AGAGUUUGAUCCUGGCUCAGAACGAACGCUGGCGGCGUGGAUAAGACAUGCAAGUCGAACGCUGACAUUCAGGUAGCAAUAUUUGGAUGUCGGAGUGGCGCAAGGGUGCGUAACACGUGGGUAAUCUGCCGUGAAGUUGGGGAUAACUUGCUGAAAGGCGAGCUAAUACCGAAUGCGGAAAUUGGGGGGCAUCUUCUGAUUUUCAAAGUUGGGGACCGCAAGGCCUGACGCUUCACGAUGAGCCCGCGGCCUAUCAGCUAGUUGGUAAGGUAACGGCUUACCAAGGCUAAGACGGGUAGCUGGUCUGAGAGGACGACCAGUCACACUGGAACUGAGACACGGUCCAGACACCUACGGGUGGCAGCAGUCGAGAAUUUUUCUCAAUGGGCGAAAGCCUGAAGGAGCGACGCCGCGUGGGGGAUGAAGGGCUUCGGCUCGUAAACCCCUGUCAUUUGCGAACAAACCUUUUCACUUAACACGUGAAAAGCUGAUUGUAGCGAAAGAGGAAGGGACGGCUAACUCUGUGCCAGCAGCCGCGGUAAUACAGAGGUCCCAAGCGUUGUUCGGAUUCACUGGGCGUAAAGGGUGCGUAGGUGGCGGGGUCAGUCUGACGUGAAAUCUCCGGGCUUAACCCGGAAAUGGCGUUGGAAACUACCUUGCUUGAGGGUUGGAGGGGGGACUGGAAUACUUGGUGUAGCAGUGAAAUGCGUAGAUAUCAAGUGGAACACCAGUGGCGAAGGCGAGUCCCUGGACAACUCCUGACACUGAGGCACGAAAGCUAGGGGAGCAAACGGGAUUAGAUACCCCAGUAGUCC
rnacentral:rRNA from 1 species